CCUACGGGUGGCAGCAGUGGGGAAUAUUGCACAAUGGGGGAAACCCUGAUGCAGCGACGCCGCGUGAGUGAAGAAGUAAUUCGUUAUGUAAAGCUCUAUCAGCAGGGAAGAAAAUGACGGUACCUGAGUAAGAAGCCCCGGCUAACUACGUGCCAGCAGCCGCGGUAAUACGUAGGGGGCAAGCGUUAUCCGGAUUUACUGGGUGUAAAGGGAGCGUAGACGGGAGGGCAAGUCUGGAGUGAAAGGCGGGGGCUCAACCCUGGGACUGCUCUUGAAACUGUACGGCUGGAGUGCAGGAGGGGUAAGUGGAAUUGCUAGUGUAGCGGUGAAAUGCGUAGAUAUUAGGAGGAACACCAGUGGAGAGGGAGGAUUACUGGACUGUAACUGACGUUGAGGCUGGAAAGCGUGGGGAGCAAACAGGAGUAGAUACCCUAGUAGUC
rnacentral:rRNA from 1 species